rnacentral:rRNA from 1 species
GUGAACGCUGGCGGUAGGCCUAACACAUGCAAGUCGAACGGCAGCACAGUAAGAGCUUGCUCUUACGGGUGGCGAGUGGCGGACGGGUGAGGAAUACAUCGGAAUCUACUUUUUCGUGGGGGAUAACGUAGGGAAACUUACGCUAAUACCGCAUACGACCUACGGGUGAAAGCAGGGGAUCUUCGGACCUUGCGCGAUUGAAUGAGCCGAUGUCGGAUUAGCUAGUUGGCGGGGUAAAGGCCCACCAAGGCGACGAUCCGUAGCUGGUCUGAGAGGAUGAUCAGCCACACUGGAACUGAGACACGGUCCAGACUCCUACGGGAGGCAGCAGUGGGGAAUAUUGGACAAUGGGCGCAAGCCUGAUCCAGCCAUACCGCGUGGGUGAAGAAGGCCUUCGGGUUGUGAAGCCCUUUUGUUGGGAAAGAAAAGCAGCAGGUUAAUACCCCGCUGUUCUGACGGUACCCAAAGAAUAAGCACCGGCUAACUUCGU